AGGUAGAAUGGCCGAGUGGUUAGGCGGCAGGCUGUAGUCCUGCAAACAUGGGUUUGAGUCCUGUUUCUAUC
rnacentral:tRNA from 1 species